CAUCUGGGUAUGCCAUUCACUGAUUCAUCCAAGCCACUGAAUUGUUUCUCAAAUUCAUGGGUGGAAAUGUUUCCUCUUCUGCUAAGCAUACUCAGUGUGCCAGGCCUCACUUGAUGAAUACCGACAACGAAGCAGAGGUCUUAGGAUUCCAGGAGUCCUUCAAUAGAUUGGGAGCUGUUCCCUUGCAUUGAUGAAGAGCAUUAAGUAAGGGCUUUGUUAACCUCCAUGACACAUUUAUCAAGGAAGUCGUGGAAACAAUGCUUUGGCAAAAACAGCUCAUCAUCACAAAAUUCAGUUUGGAGAGACUACAUCUUCCCAAUGCCUAAACCCUAAUAGCCUCUCUUUCCAAGCAGUACAACAAACAGUA